AAUGCACUAUGUUGGUUUUCUCAUGGUGCGUCUCAAAUAAGGUAUAAUGUUGAUUCUCAAUUUGUUGUAGCUUGAAUGAAUUGAAUGAGCAAAAAGAAUCAUCAUCAUCAUCAGUACAGUCAUCAUCAGCUAAAGGGAAGAAACCAGCCAACUAUAAUCCAUCAUCAUCAGCUCCAUCAUCGUCAUCAGCAUCAGCACAGAAUUCAGAUAAAUCUGUUCCUAAAUGGUUCAAAGUUGGGAAGAAAUGAUAAAGAAACAUGGAGGUGCUUUCUGUGAAAAUUUUCUAUUUAUUUAUGUUAUUAUUGAAUUAUUAUAAGUCUUUUUUGAAAUUCUCAGCAUUUUUCAUACACUUUACAGUCUGUGUGUAUUUUCCUUAGGAUUGUUUUUCCAUUGGACAUAGUUUUCAGCUUAUAAUAUGAAAUGGUCUUAAAAUUGUUUUAAUUUUAACAGACAGAUAGAGUUACUGCAACAUAUUAACUUAUUGUCAAACAGUGAUAUGAAUUCAAAGAUAUUUAUAAAAUGGAAGGACAGCUUUACAUGUUUAAGCAAAAGGUCUUGUAACUUUAGAAAGGCUACAAAAUUAUAAAAGUAUGCUAUAAAAGAUUUAUAUGUGUAUUUAUAAUUGGUUCGUGCGUAGGUCACGUCUUUACAAGCAUGAGAUGCAUCUUUUUCGUUAUUAAAUAGAUUAAAAACGAUGGAUUUCAUA
rnacentral:lncRNA from 1 species